rnacentral:rRNA from 1 species
AGCGAACGCUGGCGGCAGGCCUAACACAUGCAAGUCGAACGAACCCUUCGGGGUUAGUGGCGGACGGGUGAGUAACACGUGGGAACGUGCCUUUAGGUUCGGAAUAACUCAGGGAAACUUGUGCUAAUACCGAAUGUGCCCUUCGGGGGAAAGAUUUAUCGCCUUUAGAGCGGCCCGCGUCUGAUUAGCUAGUUGGUGAGGUAAUGGCUCACCAAGGCUACGAUCAGUAGCUGGUCUGAGAGGAUGACCAGCCACAUUGGGACUGAGACACGGCCAAAACGCCUACGGGAGGCAUCAGUGGGGAAUCUUGCGCAAUGGGCGAAAGCCUGACGCAGCCAUGCCGCGUGGAUGAUGAAGGUCUUAGGAUUGUAAAAUCCUUUCACCGGUGAAGAUAAUGACUGUAGCCGGAGAAGAAGCCCCGGCUAACUUCGUGCCAGCAGCCGCAGUAACAC